rnacentral:rRNA from 1 species
UACAGCGGGUGCGAGCGUUGUUCGGAAUUAUUGGGCGUAAAGCGCUUGUAGGCGGCACGUCACGUCGCGUGUGAAAUCCCCAGGCUUAACCUGGGAAGUGCGCGCGAAACUGACGAGCUUGAGUGCCGGAGAGGGUCGCGGAAUUCCCGGUGUAGAGGUGAAAUUCGUAGAUAUCGGGAGGAACACCAGUGGCGAAGGCGGCGACCUGGACGGACACUGACGCUGAGACGCGAAAGCGUGGGGAGCAAACAGG